UACGGAAGGGGGCUAGCGUUGUUCGGAAUUACUGGGCGUAAAGCGCACGUAGGCGGCUUGGCAAGUCGGAUGUGAAAUCCCUCGGCUCAACCAAGGAAGUGCAUCCGAAACUGCUGAGCUUGAGUACUUAAGAGGAUCGCGGAAUUCCCGGUGUAGAGGUGAAAUUCGUAGAUAUCGGGAGGAACACCAGUGGCGAAGGCGGCGAUCUGGGAAGAUACUGACGCUGAGGUGCGAAAGCGUGGGGAGCAAACAGGG
rnacentral:rRNA from 1 species